UUUUGGACAAUGGGGGCAACCCUGAUCCAGCAAUGCCGCGUGAGUGAAGAAGGCCUUCGGGUUGUAAAGCUCUUUUGUCAGGGAAGAAACACCGGCUCUAACACAGUCCGGGAAUGACGGUACCUGAAGAAUAAGCACCGGCUAACUACAUGCCAGCAGCCGCGGUAAUACGUAGGGUGCAAGCGUUAAUCGGAAUUACUGGGCGUAAAGCGUGCGCAGGCGGUUAUACAAGACAGGCGUGAAAUCCCCGGGCUUAACCUGGGAAUGGCGCCUGUGACUGUAUAGCUAGAGUGUGUCAGAGGGGGGUAGAAUUCCACGUGUAGCAGUGAAAUGCGUAGAUAUGUGGAGGAAAACCAAUGGCGAAGGCAGCCCCCUGGGAUAACACUGACGCUCAUGCACGAA
rnacentral:rRNA from 1 species